UUAAGCGACUAAGCGUACACGGUGGAUGCCCUGGCAGUCAGAGGCGAUGAAGGACGUGCUAAUCUGCGAUAAGCGUCGGUAAGGUGAUAUGAACCGUUAUAACCGGCGAUUUCCGAAUGGGGAAACCCAGUGUGUUUCGACACACUAUCAUUAACUGAAUCCAUAGGUUAAUGAGGCGAACCGGGGGAACUGAAACAUCUAAGUACCCCGAGGAAAAGAAAUCAACCGAGAUUCCCCCAGUAGCGGCGAGCGAACGGGGAGCAGCCCAGAGCCUGAAUCAGUGUGUGUGUUAGUGGAAGCGUCUGGAAAGGCGCGCGAUACAGGGUGACAGCCCCGUACACAAAAAUGCACAUGCUGUGAGCUCGAUGAGUAGGGCGGGACACGUGGUAUCCUGUCUGAAUAUGGGGGGACCAUCCUCCAAGGCUAAAUACUCCUGACUGACCGAUAGUGAACCAGUACCGUGAGGGAAAGGCGAAAAGAACCCCGGCGAGGGGAGUGAAAAAGAACCUGAAACCGUGUACGUACAAGCAGUGGGAGCACGCUUAGGCGUGUGACUGCGUACCUUUUGUAUAAUGGGUCAGCGACUUAUAUUCUGUAGCAAGGUUAACCGAAUAGGGGAGCCGAAGGGAAACCGAGUCUUAACUGGGCGUUAAGUUGCAGGGUAUAGACCCGAAACCCGGUGAUCUAGCCAUGGGCAGGUUGAAGGUUGGGUAACACUAACUGGAGGACCGAACCGACUAAUGUUGAAAAAUUAGCGGAUGACUUGUGGCUGGGGGUGAAAGGCCAAUCAAACCGGGAGAUAGCUGGUUCUCCCCGAAAGCUAUUUAGGUAGCGCCUCGUGAAUUCAUCUCCGGGGGUAGAGCACUGUUUCGGCAAGGGGGUCAUCCCGACUUACCAACCCGAUGCAAACUGCGAAUACCGGAGAAUGUUAUCACGGGAGACACACGGCGGGUGCUAACGUCCGUCGUGAAGAGGGAAACAACCCAGACCGCCAGCUAAGGUCCCAAAGUCAUGGUUAAGUGGGAAACGAUGUGGGAAGGCCCAGACAGCCAGGAUGUUGGCUUAGAAGCAGCCAUCAUUUAAAGAAAGCGUAAUAGCUCACUGGUCGAGUCGGCCUGCGCGGAAGAUGUAACGGGGCUAAACCAUGCACCGAAGCUGCGGCAGCGACGCUUAUGCGUUGUUGGGUAGGGGAGCGUUCUGUAAGCCUGCGAAGGUGUGCUGUGAGGCAUGCUGGAGGUAUCAGAAGUGCGAAUGCUGACAUAAGUAACGAUAAAGCGGGUGAAAAGCCCGCUCGCCGGAAGACCAAGGGUUCCUGUCCAACGUUAAUCGGGGCAGGGUGAGUCGACCCCUAAGGCGAGGCCGAAAGGCGUAGUCGAUGGGAAACAGGUUAAUAUUCCUGUACUUGGUGUUACUGCGAAGGGGGGACGGAGAAGGCUAUGUUGGCCGGGCGACGGUUGUCCCGGUUUAAGCGUGUAGGCUGGUUUUCCAGGCAAAUCCGGAAAAUCAAGGCUGAGGCGUGAUGACGAGGCACUACGGUGCUGAAGCAACAAAUGCCCUGCUUCCAGGAAAAGCCUCUAAGCAUCAGGUAACAUCAAAUCGUACCCCAAACCGACACAGGUGGUCAGGUAGAGAAUACCAAGGCGCUUGAGAGAACUCGGGUGAAGGAACUAGGCAAAAUGGUGCCGUAACUUCGGGAGAAGGCACGCUGAUAUGUAGGUGAAGUCCCUCGCGGAUGGAGCUGAAAUCAGUCGAAGAUACCAGCUGGCUGCAACUGUUUAUUAAAAACACAGCACUGUGCAAACACGAAAGUGGACGUAUACGGUGUGACGCCUGCCCGGUGCCGGAAGGUUAAUUGAUGGGGUCAGCGCAAGCGAAGCUCUUGAUCGAAGCCCCGGUAAACGGCGGCCGUAACUAUAACGGUCCUAAGGUAGCGAAAUUCCUUGUCGGGUAAGUUCCGACCUGCACGAAUGGCGUAAUGAUGGCCAGGCUGUCUCCACCCGAGACUCAGUGAAAUUGAACUCGCUGUGAAGAUGCAGUGUACCCGCGGCAAGACGGAAAGACCCCGUGAACCUUUACUAUAGCUUGACACUGAACAUUGAGCCUUGAUGUGUAG
rnacentral:rRNA from 1 species